AGCAGCCGCGGUAAUUCCAGCUCCAAUAGCGUAUAUUAAAGUUGUUGCAGUUAAAAAGCUCGUAGUUGAAUUUCGGGAUUAGUGCGCCGGUCGUGCCUUCGGUAUGUACUGGUGUUACUGGUUCCUACCUUCUGACGAACCGUCAUGUCAUUAAUUUGGUGUGGCGGGAAAUCAGGACUGUUACUUUGAAAAAAUUAGAGUGUUUAAAGCAGGCUCGCGCUUGAAUACAUUAGCAUGGAAUAAUGAAAUAGGACGUUCGAUCCUAUUUUGUUGGUUUCUAGGAUUGACGUAAUGAUUAAUAGGGGUAGUUGGGGGCAUUAGUAUUCAAUUGUCAGAGGUGAAAUUCUUGGAUUUAUUGAAGACUAACUACUGCGAAAGCAUUUGCCAAGGAUGUUUUCAUUAAUCAAGAACGAAAGUUAGGGGAUCGAAGACGAUCAGAUACCGUCGUAGUCUUAACCAUAAACUAUGCCGACUAGGGAUCGGAUGAUGUUAAUUUUUAAUGACUCAUUCGGCGCCUUAC
rnacentral:rRNA from 1 species